UUUCUCUUCCUGAUCUUUAUUUUCAUCCUAUAAAACCUAGUAAUAUACUUAACAUGCAAGUGCUGAAAGAAUUCAUAUCAGCAUGUUAACAGAGUCUUCAUGAUAGUUCCGUUCUUUGUUGUAUCUUGAGGCACAGAUGGAGAGCAGCACAGAUUGCUGAGCCAUUCCAGUCUGAAGGAGGAUGGAUAAAGCUUGGGUAGAAAAUAUGCAAUUUUGCUGCUGUUAUAAAAGGUACAGGAAAAUAUGGAAAACUAGAAGAAAGUUAGCUCAAGGAAUACAAGAGAAGCCUGGAUUUUUGGCAUUGGAAACUGGGAACGUUGUGUAUCUUUCUGCUAUAUUACAUCUUGAAACCUUCUUAUCUAAGGAUUCUCAAGUGAAAAUAAAAUAUAACAUAAAACA